rnacentral:rRNA from 1 species
CAAGCGGUGGUGCAUGUGGUUUAAUUCGAAGCAACGCGAAGAACCUUACCAGGUCUUGACAUCUCCUGCAUACUCAAGAGAAUGAGGAAAUCCCUUCGGGGACAGGAAGACAGGUGGUGCAUGGUUGUCGUCAGCUCGUGUCGUGAGAUGUUGGGUUAAGUCCCGCAACGAGCGCAACCCUUAUUGCUAGUUGCCAUCAUUUAGUUUGGGCACUUCUAGCGAGACUGCCGGUGACAAACCGGAGGAAAGGUGGGGAUGAACGUCAAAUCAUCAUGCCCCCUUAUGACCCUGGGCUACACACGUGCUACAAUGGACAGUACAAAGAGAAGCGAGACCGUGAGGUGGUAGCAAAUCUCAUAAAGCUGUUCUCAGUUUCGGAUUUGUAGGCUGCAACUCCGCUCUACAUGAAGUCGGAAUCCGCUAGUAAUCGCAGAUCAGCACGCUGCGGUGAAUACGUUCCCCGGGGCCUUGUACACACC